AUGGGAGGGGGCUGGCUUUACCCCGCCGAAUCCUCCGUCAACGCAACGCGAAGCUCCAUCCUGGUCACUCCAGCCUCCAUUCGCCUCCCUAGCUCAUCGCCUCUAGCCAGCAUUUUCAUUUUGCCCCCUCUCUGGUCGGGAUCGACCACCCAUGGAGUCCUUCCUCGUCGGCUUCAUGCUCGGGGUCGGGGGUCUGCUCAUGUGCGUUGUGUUCGCCUUGUUCGGGUUCGAGCGCGUGGAUCUCUGGCUGGACGGCGCUGCUCCGGCACUGGGCGGCUGGUGCCGUCGGGCCGUGCUGCUGCUGCGGCCGAUGCGCCUCCACGCCAUGUGAGGUGA
rnacentral:rRNA from 1 species